rnacentral:rRNA from 1 species
AGUGUUCAAUAGAACUGUGGUAGGUGAGUAAUGUCCCCUACUAGAAAGGAGAGGGCAAGGCUGGUGCCAGCCGCCGCGGUAAAACCAGCUCUUCAAGUGGUCGGGAUAAUUAUUGGGCUUAAAGUGUCCGUAGCCGGUUUAGUAAGUUCCUGGUAAAAUCGGGUAGCUUAACUAUCUGCAUGCUAGGAAUACUGCUAUACUAGAGGGCGGGAGAGGUCUGAGGUACUACAGGGGUAGGGGUGAAAUCUUAUAAUCCUUGUAGGACCACCAGUGGCGAAGGCGUCAGACUGGAACGCGCCUGACGGUGAGGGACGAAAGCCAGGGGAGCGAACCGGAUUAGAUACCCGGGUAGUCCUGGCCGUAAACGAUGCAUACUAGGUGAUGGUACGGCCAUGAGCCGUAUCAGUGCCGU